UAGGGAGACCUACCCGUUUUUUCUUGACUACCCAGGGUUUGAAUUAGCUUCAGUUAAUUGAACAUUGGGUCAUCAGAGAAAAAGCCGGUCAUCCCAAGGUCGUUGAGGAUUUGAGUGUUGACUUCCAAGCUAUGUAAGAUUGGUUCGGGUUAUGGGCUAUUAGCUCAGGUGGUUAGAGCGCACCCCUGAUAAGGGUGAGGUCCCUGGUUCGAGUCCAGGAUGGCCCACCUUUACAAAUGAGGGGGUUUAGCUCAGUUGGUAGAGCGCCUGCUUUGCAAGCAGGAUGUCAACGGUUCGAGUCCGUUAACCUCCACUGAAAGCUGAGAGCUUUCCUUGAACAACCGAACAGAAUUCAAUUUCAGCAACUUAUCUAAUUCAUAGAAAGCCUGCUGGAAUCAUUCCAGUUAGAACCUUGAAAACUGCAUAGAAACUUGUCAGGUAGAAAGUAGAGCGCUUUCUGAUGAUUCACUCACAAGGUGAAUUACAGAAAGACGCGACAGAUAUCACAGACACCAAUGUUGA
rnacentral:tRNA from 1 species